CAGCAUCUGGGCUACUAAUAUAUCUUGAAAACAUUCAGAGCAGAAAGCAGUGGAUGAAGUGUUAAUACGUGUUAAAACAUAAUGGAAAAUAUGAUUUCCUGGAGUUUGUUCUUCAUAGUUACUAUUAAUGGAGUUUGGAGUGAGAUCAAACAUGAACAGUCUCCCUCUGAGGUGAAAAAACCUGAAGAGAAAGUGAAGAUGUCAUGUAUCAUAUCAGGUUAUGACAUGACAGACUACUUCAUUCACUGGAUACGACAGAGGCCAGGAAACGCUCUGGAGUGGAUUGGGAGGAUGAACGCAGGUAGAAACUCUCCUACUUUUAGCAGCUCCUUUCAAAGCCGCUUCAUCAUGACUGAAGAUGUGCCCAAGAGCACUCAGUACCUGGAGGUCACGAGCCUGACAGCAGAAGACUCAGCUGUUUACUUCUGUGCUCGACGCACAGUGACUGAAGACAGUGGAGCAGCUGAACAAAAACAUCCACAGACAACAAACAGCAACGUUGACUUGAGGAGAUUUGGGUUUUCUCACCAACUGCAACAGUACUUUAAUAUAUUUAAUAUCUUCAUGAUGUUUCAUCACUCACAUCAGACUCUGAGUGAGUCUGAACCAGCGGUGAAGCUCCCAGGAGAAUCCCAUAAACUGACCUGUACCUAUGCAGGAAUAUCAGAUGAUGAUGCUGAUAUCAGCUGGAUCAGACAAGCUGAAGGAAAAGGACUGGAGUGGAUCGCUUACAUUUCUGCUCCCAGUGGACAAAAUAAAUAUUAUUCCACGUCUUUCCUGAAUCGUUUCACCAUUUCCAGAGACAACGCCGUGGACCAGGUGUCUCUGCAGAUGAACAAAACGACUGCAUCUCCAACUCUGUUCCCUUUGGUGAAGUGUGAACCUGACGGUGAUAAAAUCACCCUCGGGUGUCUUGCACACAACUUCUUCCCAAAAAGUCUUACUUUCCAGUGGACCGAUGCCUGUGGGGACGCUCUGACUGCUGAUCGCUAUCCUUCAACUCUGAACAACAACAAAUAUACAGGAGUCAGUUUGCUUAAAGUACCAAAGUCUGACUGGGAUUCAAGGCACUCUUUUCAAUGUUCUGUGACGCACGAAGGAGGCCCAAGAAGUUUGACACUGGGAAAAAAGGCCUCUUGUUCUAUGAUUAGAAAUAUCACAAUGACACUGAAACCAACAAAUCCCAAAGACAUUUUCAACCAAAACCUGGCAAAGUUUGAGUGCAGGAUUGAAGGACUGGACCAGAACGCCAUGAAUGAAACGAAAUUCACUUGGCAAAUUAAUGGAAAUGAGACUGAGAACUUCAUUGAAACAACAGACUCCACAGGCAUCAAAAUCAGCACUUUGACUCAAAACCAAGCGGAAUGGAAGAAAAUGAACAAAGUGACCUGUUCUGCUAAGAACCAAAAAACACAAAUUUCUAAAGAUCUGAUCUACCAACGAGAUGAUUCCCCAAAAAUAACAAUCCACCUCCUCCCAAUGGAAGACGUGAUGAAUGCUACAGAGGUCACUAUGUUGUGUCUGGUCUCUAGCAAGAAACAGCAGGAUUUCUACAUCACCUGGUUAGAAGAAAGUAGAUCUGAUGUCAGCGUCUAUAACGAUGGCAUCGACUUCCCCCCUAUGAAGACCAAACACGGCUUCUCAGCUACGAGUCUUUACACCACCUCCUUGGAUAAGUGGAACAAAUACGUCCAGUUCUCCUGCAACGUGUGGUCACCUGGUGGUGAAAAGAUCAGAGUGGUGUCUCAGUCCGUUAUUAGAUCAAAUGAAUGUAAGGAUGUGUAGAUUGAGCCUUAAAUGUGUCAUCUUGUGCUAAUGUGCUGUCAUGUCUGUGUCCUCUCUGUCAUGGAACCCGUCUUUGUGAUUGUAAAAGUAACAGCCAGUUUGUCAAUUCACUUUGGUUUGUCAUCGUAUUGUGUUUGAAUCUGUCUUUGUCACAUCGUCCAAGAGCUUGAUAAAUGUGCUGACUGUUUCAAAUAAAUGUUGCAUA